rnacentral:rRNA from 1 species
GAGUUUGAUCCUGGCUCAGAACGAACGCUGGCGGCGUGCUUAACACAUGCAAGUCGAACGUGAUCCGGAGCUUGCUCCGGUGAAAGUGGCGCACGGGUGAGUAACGCGUGGAUAACCUGCCCAGGUAUCUGGGAUAACAUCUCGAAAGGGGUGCUAAUACCGGAUAAGCCUACGGACUCUUCGGAGUCUGCAGGAAAGGGAGGCCUCUAUUUAUAAGCUUCCGUAUCAUGAUGGGUCCGCGUACCAUUAGCUAGUUGGUGGGGUAAUGGCCUACCAAGGCGACGAUGGUUAGCUGGUCUGAGAGGAUGAUCAGCCACACUGGAACUGAGACACGGUCCAGACUCCUACGGGAGGCAGCAGUGGGGAAUUUUGCGCAAUGGGGGAAACCCUGACGCAGCAACGCCGCGUGAGUGAUGAAGGCUUUCGGGUCGUAAAGCUCUGUCAGAGGGGAAGAAAUGAAACGUGCUAAUAUCACGUUUUCUUGACGGUACCCUCAAAGGAAGCACCGGCUAACUCCGUGCCAGCAGCCGCGGUAAUAC